UGGCAGACAAAGGAACCCUGUCAUUGAAAUGUGCCGACCUGCAAAGGAAUGGGCUGAAAGGAGAAAUCUAAACAGUAAAAAGCCGACGGGUGGAUGCUCAGAGCAAAUAUGCAGGACACAGGACUGGAGGCACUGCUGCCCAAUACCGUUUAAAGAAGCCAGAGGUCAUAGGGCAGAAGUCGACUGUGUGGUCCAGUCCGCAAACAGCCUUCCUCGUGUCAUGGCUCUGCUCACAGCUGGCCUGCAGGCCUGGGUAGCACCAGCAGCUCCUGCUCUUGCCAUCCUCUCCAUCAUCGCCAUCUUCAUUCUCACCAUCAACCUCCUCAGCCUCUGCACAAGCUGCCACCGAGAUUCGUUUGAACUUCAGAAGGAUCCGGGAUUGGAGAGGGACAAAUCGAGCCUGGUGCGAGUGGUUCAGCUGGAAGAAAUUGCUAAUAAGGAAAACCCCGCCAUAAAUGACAUCACCACAGAUGAGAAUGACAUCUCCAUACAGAGAGAUGGCGUGUCGUACAAGCCUUGGAGGAACCACACCGGCUAUUUAAACCAAAGCAACUCUUCUCGGUUGGCUCCGGUCGGCAAUGGGACGCCUACGACAACGACUGCGGCCACUACAGACAGCGGAACUGAUCAGAAUAUUUACACCCUGCCAGUAAACGAAGCUGUAAGGGAGGUGGAAUCGAGUUUACAGGCCGCAGCUCCAGCUGUUCAGACUGAGAACAAGCCCGACAGUCAAGCAGGCGCGUGGACCGGCCCUUUACCGAUGCCAAUAGUGGCAACGACAGCUGAAGGCGACCCUCGGCGGGCCGGGCAGGCCGCUUCAUACCACCCCUACGCCACCGGGAUGCCACCGGAAGACCGGGACAUCCCGUCCUACCACUUCGUGACACAGCUGGACCCCUACGCAACCUCGGCCGGUCUGGCUUCCUCUCGUCCGGCGGGGGCGGAGAAUUUGCUCGCCCCACCCGUUUUAGGGGAGCAGACAGUUGGCUUGAGCGAAGAGUCGCAGGGAAUGUACGCCCGAGUCAGCAAAAAGAUGAAGUGCCCCACACCACCGCCCAUACCUCCCCCGGAGGAUGAGGACGAGGACUCUGUACCGCCGUUGCCAAACAGAGAUUAAACGGAAAGACCCGCCCUGCAGUGUUUUAGGCAUCUAUGCCGACCUUUGAACUACAAAAAACGCACCCCCAUUUUUUUUCCCCCUGGUUUCUGCCGCACAUGUGUGCUGCUUACAAGAUGUUGAUAUCUGUCACUACUGAUAGAUGAAACAACAUCUUGAAAAUCACAUUUAUAACUUUAGAUUGAGUGAAUUAUGUGCUGUUGGAUGUUCUGUUGGUCUGAACAUGUUUCUUUCUGCACACGCUCCAGCUACUACUUCACCAGAUGUGGGGCGACUAUUAACACAUGUAAUUAAACCUCACAUGUUAAAGCUGCCAUUUUUUGUGCCAGUGCGCUGUCUGGGACAUCAGAACAGGACAUUUUGCUGUUGAAAUGCUUAAUAUAAAAAGAUCUGACAACUACACAUGAAAGUCAGAGAAUUCCACAACACUAUACUGUAUUGGUAUACGUUGCCCACGAUUUUAUCACAUUGGUGAUAUUACAGUGCGAGUCUUCAAACAUCACCUGUUGUCUGACAUUUUGACAUACUUCUACAUUUAAACAAUUAUUAAAAAGUGAAAGCGGC
rnacentral:lncRNA from 1 species